UUUAUGUAUUGAUAACAUUAACAUCAGUAUGAUACAUAACUUUAUUACGAUCUUUAGUUAGAUGCAUUAGUCUAUAUAUCAACAACAUAAAAAUUUGUCAGGUACAUAGAUUUCGUGAAAUUCUUCGAACGAAGAAAACAAACUUUUCUAGCCAGAUCUAGUCAGAUAUCCACAUGUAUCGGUGGAACUCUCUAACAUUCGCUGAAAAAGAUGAAGUUUUUGAUUUUUUGUUUUGAUGGUGGUUCACCAUCGGAUACAUAGAUUUCAUAUUUUCCGAAUAGAGAAAAUAAAUAUUUUUGACCAGAUCUAGUUAAAUCUCUACUUGUAUUGUCAAAAUUCUCUGAGAUUCGCCGAAAAAGAUGAAGCUUUAGGAGGUUUUCAUUUUGGUGGUGGUUCAUCAGUGAUUUUAUUGAUUGGAGAUGAUCGGAGGUGAGAGACAUGGAGAUGGAGAGAAGAAGAUGAGAGUGGAGUGGAGGAAAGGGAGAAGAGAAAGAGGGCGGUGGUUUUGGUUGUAUCUGGACGGUGGGAGUCACAGAGAUGAAAGCUCGAUUUUUUUAUUCGACGAGA
rnacentral:lncRNA from 1 species